GAUAUGAUUUCAUUUGAACCUUUGAUUAUUUUGGGAUGAGUUGACAAUGGUUUCAUAGCAUUCAAGAUACUUUCAAGAAUAGGAUCAAGUUCUAAAGGCAAUUGAAAGGAGUUUCUAAACAACAAGACAAAGGUUCAUGAUCAAAAUGCAAGAUUUAUGACUUGUCAUGCAAGAAAUGAACAUAGAACGAAUGGGUAACUUCUAAA
rnacentral:lncRNA from 1 species